GGGGGUGGAGAAGCCUGGAGGCCGGGCCCUCAGGCCCCGCCUCUGAUUCACGGACAAAGCUCUGUGAGUCACAACAAUAGAACAACAUCCUUUUAUUGGCGUUAACAAAAAUGCACGUCAUGUGUGGCCAUUCGGCCCCAAAAAUGCACCCCAUCUUGCAAUGUGUCUUCAUAAUCCCCAUUUCCUCCCACCGUGUCCGAUCGGGUGCUGCCACCCUCUAUUUAAGCCACGGGUUGGUGCAUAUCUCCCUUCAUCUCUUAAUCAUCCGUUCCAUUUAUUUCUUUGUUCACUCCUCCCAGCGCUCUGUGCCCAGAUAUUAUCGUCACCACUCAGGCUGUGCGGUCUCCAUCCGUAUUUGCCCGCCCCUCAAUAGGCUACAGUGCCGUAUGUGUGUGUUGUUGCUGGGGGGGGGGGGGGGGCGCUCAUGUCAGCGAACAACCGCUAUGGUUCUGUUUCGUGUGUGUGUGUGUGUUUUAUUGACAUGCCUCUGCUUCAAAACCCCUGAAGGGACCGCUCCACCGUCGAUAACCCUGCUUCAUAAUGCAUCAGCCGCUCACAAAACUGACCAGAGGUUAUGUGGGUCAUGCCGUGGCGACGCUGGGGGACGUGCACGGAGGGACACUGGCAGACAAAUGGGAGACAGGGAGAGGCUUAACAGAUUGAAGGCCAUCAAGGACAAUACGGAAAAAUGAACAACGACUAUUGUCGGAGGAAAUGCCGCAGGAGACUGACUGAUGGACGAGCAAAACAAGAGACGGGGGGAGAUGAAGCGGAGGAGGAGGACGGGUCGUAUUUCUGUCAUGCGGCGCCGUCCUUUGUUUGCUCAUCACAUGCGGUAUCUCUGCAUGGUCCUUGUAUUCAUGUCAGAGAUAAUUAUAGGAGGACGCCGCCAGUUGCCAGAUCAGUAGAUAGCGGACGGGAGCUGCAUCUAAGCGCGGCGUCUCUUCCCCCUACUGGGUUGCCAGAUUUGCGAAUGUCUUGUAUGACGCUGCAUGAGCUCGCAGCCAUGCCUCACCUUCUGCGUGUCCUCGAAGAAUAGCGUCACUGGGCUUCAGAUUUCUUCACCGUGUUUGUCUUGAAGGUCAAUGCAGUGGAGUUUAAUCAGAUCAGUCUCUCAGAAGAGGGUGAAGAGCAAAACAGACAACUGGAAAGACGUAUAAACAAUUUUCCUGACAGCCGAGGCUUUGAGACGGCAGCACCAGGAGGGAAGAGGAGGACGACGAAGAACCGGAACGUGAAGAACCACCAGCAGCAGCAACUACCACCUCUGAAAAUGCAUUCCAGUUUGCGACAUAUUUAAAAGGAGACCCUGCAAAGCCCUCUGUCGCAAGCAUCCGGCUCGGCUUACAUCACCCGAAAGACUUAUGCUGCGCCGGAUCAGCGUAAAGCCUGACAAGAUGUCCCGGGUGAUUUGCGAGGAGAACCUCUAGAGGUACUAGGAGCUGGCAGAAGGAGAGAUACCCGAGGCCUCUGGGUAAGCCCGCCCUCCCCUCACAAAGUGAUGUAUGUCCCUCUCCAAGGUGCUGAAGUGCGUCCUGCUCCGAGAGCGACCGCAGGUGAAGCCCGUGGCUUCAGCUCCGCUGCGGUUACUCCUCUGCAUUUUUUGCCGACGAAUACUCGCCCGGACUGGAGUCCUCACUCAUAUGAGGUUAAACAGAGGCUGUUUCUGAUGUGUGUCUCAACGGAUACCGUCGUAAUCUCCCUGGGUGUGUGUAUGUGCCGGGGUUUGAGGUGUGGUCACCAGGCCAAGCCCCCCGGUUUGAUUUGGGACUGCUUGCAAGAUCUUUAAUAGUUAACUAUGAAUUAAUUCAUGACAGUAAGUGAAAUGUUUCCACAACACUGUACGAUAUAUGAGGCGUGCAUUUAUCUUUAUUGGAGCCGCAGCAAAACACUAUCUCACAAGUUAUUAAUGUCAGAAAAUUGGAUGUGAGAGUCCGCUGUGAAACGGCUUCAGACAUAAAUUGUUCAAUUAAACAUCACCAGUGAAAUUGGUUGUACAGCAACGCGGGGCCGCAAAAAAAUUGAACGCCGAGAUGAAUAGACAACAAAAGUGACUUAGUAUUCAAAGUCGGUUCCAAGGGAGACUUGCCCAAGCUGUUUGCAGUGAUUUAUGGGGCUGAAUAUGUCUGAUUUGUUCUUGAGUGCACAAACUGCCCUCUCAGUUUAACAGUGAUUUGAAUGCGUCUCGGGGUUCCAACAUGGACGUUAUACGCCAGCACCGGGGAGUUCAGUCAAACACUAUUCCAAAGCCCAUCAAAGGGAGCGUUGAGAUUAUAGUGAUUUAUUUGCUACUCUGAGACAUCAGAGUGUGAGUGUUACAACAUCAAAGAGGCAAACUGCAAUUUCCAUUGGCCAGAACUGUGGCACGCCGUGACAAACGAAAGAAAUAAAAUAAAAUAAAAAACACUCUGUGGAGGUAAGAAAGAAGGUCCAUGAAUCAGAGUAAAAAGGAAUCUUCAGUGUGUUGUGGGAGAACAUCCUUCUAAGAUCCAAGAAGAUCUGGCUUUUAUCUACAAACAGUUUCCUAUAUUCAGGCUGUUUUUGACAGAUGUCUGUUGUACCUCCAGGGGGAUUCUACUGUGUUUGCUGAGUGUUUGAGGUACAUAAUCUUCCCCUUAUAUUUAGAUUUUGUCCACUUCUGCGUUUAUUUCAUGAAGUUCUGACACCCGGGUAUUUUCCCUAUUUUUUUUGUUCCUCUCUCUCUCUCUCUCUCUCACACACACACACACAUAGUUUUUGUCUUUUCAUGCCGUAUCUGUAGGACCCGGGCGGAGGGAGGAAUUCAUCAUCCUAAUGUGCCGCGGAUAAGCGCUUGUUAAAAACCCCACACUGCGUUUUCUCGAUAUUCGUCAUGGUUGUAAGAAUUUUGCCUCAGGUGCCGAAGGCAGCUUGUGAAGCCGGUCAAAGAGCAUCAUUGAAAAGAGAAAAAUCCAGCAAUAUGUGGUGGAUCUCCCAGAUAUGAAAGAGAUGGCUAUUGCUGAAUACCUUGUUUGGAAGAAGGAGAAGUCCAACACAUAUCGUCUAACAACCAGGAAAUACCAUGCAGAGAUUUUUCUUUAAAAAAGAAAAAUAAAACAUUUAUAUUAAAACGUAAUUAAUUGCCAGUGAAAAUAACACCAGUAUUGUGAAGCUACUAUGAGAAUAUGGUUUCAUUCACUUCAUGGUCGGCACCUAAUUGGUCCCCGUAAGGAAGGCCGGUCCCCUCAAUGGGAGUGUGUAAACGGAUUUAUGUCCCCGCAACAUAGGUAAAACAAGCCCUCACACACACACACACACUGUCUGAAUAUGAUUUCUUUUGACUUGUUUAUCACCUUAGUGCCACACACAAACAGAGAGACACACCUAUGUGCAUAAAAAAUGAAAUGAGUUUGCUUGGCUUCUAUGAAUGAUAAUGAUGCCAUUCAACUGUUUGCUUUGCUGAUGGCCCCCCCCCCCUCCCCGGGCAGAAGGGUCCCCUGGGUUUGUGUGACUGCCAUUGAAGCAUCAAAGCCAAGUAAAUGUCAACUAUGGAGAUAAAAAAAAACCUCUUGCUUCCAAAAAGCUGCCUGAUGGGUUUGUUUUUGUUUUAAUAGCAUCCAUUAAAAGUAUAAUCAUGAAAUAGAUGUCCAAAUCCUCCGUUGAGUGGUGACCUCGUUUUCAUUAAAAGGUCUUUGAAAUGAUGUUGUUUCAAACAAUAAAGUUUCGCAAACGCA